GUUAGCGUGCAGGACGCCUGUUUAUUGGCAUAAUGUUACGUGAACUGUAAAUAAAUAAACUACACGCGUAGAAGCUUAAGUUCUGGAGUUUCUGGACGCGGGUUCGACUCCCGCCGUCUCCAUAU
rnacentral:tmRNA from 1 species